CAGGUUCAGGGCCGGCCGCCAGACAAGGCCCGGCCAGGGGAAGUCCCCAGUGAAGAGGCGAUCGGGGGAGAUGCUGACCGGAAGGCGGUCCUCCGGCGGGAGAGGGCUGGUCCUGCUCUGGCGCCCCAUCUUGGCGGAGCCCAACAAGGAGCAGCUAGCCAGCCGGACUGCGGUUCGCAGAGCCCCAGCGCGGCGUCACACCGCCGGGCGUUAGUCACAGGCUCACUCCCACGCCCUGCCGUGACAAGUCCCAAUCGUAUCACAGCUCCGUGGCCAUGCUGAAGUCAACAGCUCCGCACGUGGCUCCCUGUCUCGCUGGGCGCUGGGGUUUCUGUUGAGCAGUUACUUCUCUGAUCUGCUGUCUCGCCAGUGGACUCAGAAAAAAGGCAACAAAAGUGGGCACCUUUCCAUCUUGUCCCCCCUCUCCAGUCUUCCUUGAAUUACCCUGAAGAGGCUGAGCCUUGAGAAAGCUGGAUCCUGGAGGCAGUGGUCAGCGCCGGCCUGGAGCAGCUCGGCGCAAAUCAGAGCCCCGCGGCAUUUCCCCUUUGUACGGUUGCCCCCUUCGCGGGUGGAGGGCGAGGCAGAACCAGGGCUCCCGUCUCAGGUUUCGGCAGGACGCCCGCUCCGCAGGCUCCGAAAACUCCCCAGGAUGGCGGGCGGCGGGGGUGAGGAGGAGGAGCCACAGGCUGGCCGGCCAGGAUGGAACGCACGGAUCUCAGAGCUCCCUGCAUAUGAUGCCCUGCCUCUAGCUCCCGGCGGUCACAUCGAACCAAGCUCACCUCCAUCUUUGUUCAACCCUCGAUCCAUCUUAAAAGGCAGCUCCUGAGCUUUACUAACCUCCCAGAGCGCUGUGGGGGUCUCAGCGGACCGCAAACGUUGUGUCAAUUCGCUGGUCUAGCGCGCCCCCUGGUGGCCCAAACCAUCCACUGUCUUCUAGGCGUUCCACAGCUGUUGCCCUAAGGAUUUAGGGAAAAUAGGAAAAAAAUUAAAGCCAAAUGUGACAAAACUGGCUAAAAAACAGAAAUGACAUCAUUUUAAGGAAAAAUGCAUGAGGAUCCCAGGAGAGGGCUCCGCCUUAGCUCUCGGGUGACUUCUCAGAACCAGGUGCAUCAGAAAAAGGUUUUUUAAAAACUUAAGCUACUGAAGGAUUGAUGGCUCGAAACAGCUCAGAUGUAUCUGUUUACAUCACACGGUUAUGCUUCAUAGAUUUCAGAAAGAUUGUGCUGUUGAAAAGAGCAUACAGAUGUUUAAAGUAAACUAACUCAACCUCUGGAAAAUAGUCAAGGAACA
ensembl:lncRNA